UAGGCAGCCACAGUGGUUAGUUGUGUUGGGUGUUCAGGGAAAGGCUCUCUGAGGAGAAUACAUUUCUAGAGGCUGGGAAUCAAGAUAAAGAUUAACCUGAAGAUCAAGAUCAAGAUGUUAGCAUAUUCAGGGACUGGUUUUAUUCUCAUUCAUGAGGUUGAGGAACAUCUAGACAGAUGGAGAUGGCACUCUGGUGUCAAAGUGUUUGGACUUUGAAGACAGACCGAACCAUCCUCACAGGAAAGCACUCAAUGGCUGCCUGAUGUGAUUCCUCUCUACCUUAUGGGAAUGGUCAGUCAUGCUGAAGCAACGAUGGCCUUGCUGGUAGUCCAAGCACCGACACAUCCAUGCUGUCAUGACAGUGUUUUGAGUAAGAAAUGGCCGAUCAUAUUAUCCCCAUCAGAUCCUGGAGCUUAGAGAGAUGAAGUGACAUGCCCAAGGUCACAAGGAGGCUUUGUUUCUCUGCAAAGCCCAAUCCUUAAAGGUAAGGGCUCUGGAAUUAGGCACACCUGCAUUCAAAUCCCCGUUUGGACAGUUAUAACCAUGUGAUUGACCUUAGAGGCUCUGCUCAAUGUCCACCCUAAUCCCCUUCCCCUCAUUGCUGCGGGGAGC